GUGCAGGCUGGAUUCCCAGUGGGGGGUUGCUAGAAACAGCCAAUCGGUGAUUCUCUCUCAUCACUGAUGUUUCUCUCUCUCUCUCCCUCUCCCU